GGUAUCUAGCAGGAGAGUGGCAUGGGGUCAGGUUUGUGUCCUGUGUCUCGUGGAAGGUACGUGUAGCCCGAAUGUGUGCGUGUGUCUGUGUGUGAAUGGGCGCGUAUGGGGAGGGCCAGACGAGUGUGUGAGUCCGCCCCUGCGCCCCUCUCCCCCACCUACACCUUGAUCUUAUUUGAUCGGGUCUGACCCCAGCCCGCUGGGCCAACCCAAAAUGAAAUGAUUGCCUCCCUCUGGGGCGCUGUGCAGCGAGGCAAAAAGGAAGAAAGAAAUUUAAGGUCUAAUGUGAAACCACAA
rnacentral:snoRNA from 1 species